CGUAAGGCGCCGAAUGAGUCAUUAAAAAAUUAACAUCAUCCGAUCCCUAGUCGGCAUAGUUUAUGGUUAAGACUACGACGGUAUCUGAUCGUCUUCGAUCCCCUAACUUUCGUUCUUGAUUAAUGAAAACAUCCUUGGCAAAUACUUUCGCAGUAGUUAGUCUUCAAUAAAUCCAAGAAUUUCACCUCUGACAAUUGAAUACUAAUGCCCCCAAUAUCCCUAAUUAAUCAUUACGUCAAUCCUAAGAAACCAACAAAAUAGGAUCAAACGUCCUAAUUUCAUUAUUCCAUGCUAAUGUAUUCAGGCGUUAGCCUGCUUUAAACACUCUAAUUUUUCAAAGUAC
rnacentral:rRNA from 1 species